GACGAACGUUGGCGGUGCGCUUUAUACAUGCAAGUCGUGCGCGAAAGGCCCCUUCGGGGGCCGAGUAGAGCGGCGGACGGGUGCGUAACACGUGAGCAACCCGCCCUGGAGUGGGGAAUAACUCCGAGAAAUCGGGGCUAAUACCGCAUGAUGUCGCAGCUCCGCAUGAAGCUGCGCUUAAAGUCGGCCUCUGCUUGCAAGCUGGCGCUCCAGGAUGGGCUCGCGGCCUAUUAGCUAGUUGGCGGGGUAAUGGCCCACCAAGGCUACGAUGGGUAGGGGGCGUGAGAGCGUGG
rnacentral:rRNA from 1 species